GGGCGUUUGAAGUCGAGUGGUCGAAGACGGCGGGCUGUAACCCCGUACAACGAUACAUCCCAGGUUCGAAUCCUGGAGCGCCCA
rnacentral:tRNA from 1 species